rnacentral:lncRNA from 1 species
UCAGAGUCAAUGUUACAUACUGUGUUUGUUUCUUUUGUUUGCUCGGUUUUCUUUUUUUCUUCUUCUAUUUUUCCACUGAAUUCCCUUUUUCAUGUUUCUUUUUGAAUCUUCGAGUUAUAAUUUUUUUUUCUCUUUUUUGUCUUUCUCUCGAUGAUUUCCUAUUUCAUUCAUUUUUUUCUUUUUGUUCUCGCACUUUCUUG